rnacentral:rRNA from 1 species
AUUGAACGCUGGCGGAAUGCUUUACACAUGCAAGUCGAACGGCAGCACGGACUUCGGUCUGGUGGCGAGUGGCGAACGGGUGAGUAAUGUAUCGGAACGUGCCCAGUCGUGGGGGAUAACGUAGUGAAAAUUACGCUAAUACCGCAUACGAUCUAUGGAUGAAAGCGGGGGAUCGCAAGACCUCGCGCGAUUGGAGCGGCCGAUAUCAGAUUAGGUAGUUGGUGGGGUAAAGGCCCACCAAGCCAACGAUCUGUAGCUGGUCUGAGAGGACGGCCAGCCACACUGGAACUGAGACAGGGUCCCGCCUCCUACGGGAGGCAGCAGUGGGGAAUUUUGGACAAUGGGCGAAAGCCUGAUCCAGCCAUUCCGCGUGCAGGAUGAGGGCCCUCGGGUUGUAAACUGCUUUUGUACAGAACGAAAAGGUUUCUACUAAUACUAGGAGCUCAUGACGGUACUGUAAGAAUAAGCACCGGCUAACUACGUGCCAGCCGCCGCUGUAA